CUCCCACUCCCACUAAUCUCUUGUGGUGGGACCUGUUGUUCCGGGAUUGCCAUUACUAUUUCUGUAGUAAUGGGCUGUUGUUGAUGCCUCACAAGUUCCAUAUUGUGAAGCUGCUGCUGCUGUUGAACAACUUGUGGCUGCUGUUGUGGUGGUGGUGGUUGAUGGUGAGAUAUAUGCGUCUGUUGUUGUUCUUGUUGCUUUUGUUGUGUUAAUGACGGUGUUUGAUGCGAUGGUGGAGCAAUAGGGACCUCUGGUGGAACAACGGAGACGGUCGGUUGUGUCGGUGGAGGUGGUGGUGGUGGUGCAGGUGCGGGUACAAUAACAGUUGCGGUAGUGGGUAAUUGUAUGGUCUGGCCAGUAAUCUUUUGCAAAAAGGAAACAAUAGCAGCAUCCCUUGAAGCAGCAAUGGCUCGUUCUUGAGCCAUGAGU
rnacentral:lncRNA from 1 species